rnacentral:rRNA from 1 species
CACCGCGGUUAUACGAGAGGCCCAAAUUGAUAGUACUCGGCAUAAAGUGUGGUAAAGAAAACGAACAAUAAAGCCGAACUCUUCCAAGGCUGUUAUACGCAACCGAAAAGAAGAAGACCAACAACGAAAGUGACUUUACCCCCUCUGAAUCCACGAAAGCCAGGAAA